rnacentral:rRNA from 1 species
AUUGAACGCUGGCGGCAGGCCUAACACAUGCAAGUCGAGCGGAUGAAGAGAGCUUGCUCUCUGAUUUAGCGGCGGACGGGUGAGUAAUGCCUAGGAAUCUGCCUGGUAGUGGGGGAUAACGUCCGGAAACGGGCGCUAAUACCGCAUACGUCCUACGGGAGAAAGCAGGGGACCUUCGGGCCUUGCGCUAUCAGAUGAGCCUAGGUCGGAUUAGCUAGUUGGUGAGGUAAUGGCUCACCAUGGCUACGAUCCGUAACUGGUCUGAGAGGAUGAUCAGUCACACUGGAACUGAGACACGGUCCAGACUCCUACGGGAGGCAGCAGUAGGGAAUAUUGGGAAAUGGGCGAAAGCCUGAUCCAGCCAUGCCGCGUGUGUGAAGAAGGUCUUCGGAUUGUAAAGCACUUUAAGUUGGGAGGAAGGGCAGUAAGUUAAUACCUUGCUGUUUUGACGUUACCGACAGAAUAAGCACCGGCUAACUUCGUGCCAGCCGCCGCCGUAAAAC